UAGAGUGUNUCAGAGGGAGGUAGAAUUCCACGUGUAGCAGUGAAAUGCGUAGAGAUGUGGAGGAAUACCGAUGGCGAAGGCAGCNUCCUGGGAUAACACUGACGUUCAUGCCCGAAAGCGUGGGUAGCAAACAGGAUUAGAUACCCUGGUAGUCCACGCCCUAAACGAUGUCGAUUAGCUGUUGGGCAGCAUGACUGCUUAGUAGCGAAGCUAACGCGUGAAAUCGACCGCCUGGGGAGUACGGUCGCAAGAUUAAAACUCAAAGGAAUUGACGGGGACCCGCACAAGCGGUGGAUGAUGUGGAUUAAUUCGAUGCAACGCGAAGAACCUUACCUGGUCUUGACAUGUACGGAACCCUCCAGAGACGGAGGGGUGCCUUCGGGAGCCGUAACACAGGUGCUGCAUGGCUGUCGUCAGCUCGUGUCGUGAGAUGUUGGGUUAAGUCCCGCAACGAGCGCAACCCUUGUCAUUAGUUGCCAUCAUUAAGUUGGGCACUCUAAUGAGACUGCCGGUGACAAGCCGGAGGAAGGUGGGGAUGACGUCAAGUCCUCAUGGCCCUUAUGACCAGGGCUUCACACGUCAUACAAUGGUCGGUACAGAGGGUAGCCAAGCCGCGAGGUGGAGCCAAUCUCACAAAACCGAUCGUAGUCCGGAUUGCACUCUGCAACUCGAGUGCAUGAAGUCGGAAUCGCUAGUAAUCGCAGGUCAGCAUACUGCGGUGAAUACGUUCCCGGGUCUUGUACACACCGCCCGUCACACCAUGGGAGUGGGGGAUACCAGAAGUAGGUAGGGUAACCGCGAGGAGCCCGCUUACCNCGGUAUGCUUCAUG
rnacentral:rRNA from 1 species